rnacentral:lncRNA from 10 species
GAACAAGUGGGAUUUUUUUACAUCUUUGAAAGUGUUUGUCUCCACCACAGGACCGGAUGCCAGACCUUAGAUUCCAGCUCCUUUCGGGGUCAUUUCCCUCUUGGAAUCAGGAUCAAGGUGGGCAGAGCCUACGGUCAGGCCACAGUACACUCUUGGGAGAGGCAGCUUGGAUUACUUUAGCACAAGGGACUUUCCAAAACCAAAGUUAUUAGGAAAAGCAGAAUGGAGAAUAUUUGGAAAAAAUGCUGUUAACACCUGAUCCACACGUUCUUUCCUUCCCCUGUGCUGCUCAUAAUCACUUACAGACGCUGAGGUGUGUAGGAACGGACAGGCAACCUCAGCCUGCAGAGACCCCAAGACAUGACAACAUGGAAGCCUCACCUCGGAUACCGUUUCUGAUUAUUAUGAAAUGGAGUACAGGCUUCCACCUCCAUCACUGACACUCCUUCUUUUGGUGAACCACAAGAAGAUUGGCAUUCUGGUUGUGAGCCCUGCCCAUCACAGGAGAUCUGGCAACCAAAAAACAGCAACACAAAGGGACCGAGACGCCUCUCUUGUAUGAGGUCUUGUCAUGCCAAGUGUAUGGGAUUUGGAGUCAGCCUGGUCACAGUUUGAACCCUUGUUACACCAUUUUGAGACUGCGGACCUCAGAGAAUCUGUUUCCUCUUCUGUAAAAUGAGGAGUUUGUUUUGCUUUCUUGAAAUCGGCCAUCAUUCAAUUCCUCUGCCAGAGUCCAUGUUAGCCUGAGACCAACUGGAAAUUUUUUGCCUCUGAGAAAGGAAACCAGAGAGACUCCUCCGUGAGCUCCGGAGGAAGAGACGCCAGCCUUCUGACUUCUCAAAGCAUGUUAUUCGCAUCACUACCUACUCAGGCCACACGGGGGAGCCGCGGGCCGGGCAAAGGCGAGUCCGCGCGCCCGCCCAGCGCACACCUGCCCGGCGGUGGCGGAUGCCGGCUGCGGGCUCCCAGCGUGGGCCAAGAGUCCUCACUCGGCGAGUUACACUGAAAUCAAAAUGAAGCAGAAAGAUGUGGCUUUAAAAAGAGAAAAACAUUUUCAAGUCACGUGCUUUUUUCUUCGCUUCCCUCUUAUCGUGAAAUCUGAGAAAUGUCAAACAAGAAAGGAAUGAAGUAAAUCAGGAUUACAGUUUAAUUCGAAGGCAGGUGGUGGGGGGUGAAGGGGAGGGAAGGAGGGAGGGAGGAAGGAAGCAGGAAGGAAGGAUGGACGGAUGAAUGGGUCUAUCCUAGGAUCCUUCUGUUGGUGUGAAGUUGGGAGUGACUCGGGUUAAGCAGAAAUGGGAUUAUGCGAACCCUCAGUCACGUGUCUGGGAAAAGGAUCUCUUGAAAGACUGGAGGUUUUAACAAAUAAGGAUUUGCCCGCAUUCGUGUACUUUUCGGCACUAUUUUCUCAAAACAGCAGACACCUGUGGGACUGAAUUGUUCACUAAUCCUCAAAGAAUAAAAGCAACCUAGAAGCAUUUAAAGGGCAGUUAAGAUAACAGCCUGAACUUGGACAAGCAGGUGGCCAGUUCCUUAAGCAAAUACUUAGACACCUAACUAAACACUACCUCUCUUUUUUUCCUUGACUUAAGCAUUUCAAACCAAGCCCCCACCACCUUCCUGAGCCAGGGUCCGCAGGAGCUCCAGGGCCACUACACAUGGUGUUGCCCUGCCCUAGAUAAUCAGUAAGUAUUCACUGAAUCAAUAAGCACUUUAAUAAAUGAUCCUCUCUUCAAAUCAUCAUUAACCUUAAUCCUUAGCAUGAAGGAAAUAAUGAAAUAAUGGUUAUUAUAAGUUAGGUCUCAAGAAUUCAAGCAUACAUGAAACAUGCCAUGCAAAUCAUAUUAGUGUGUAGUUGUUACAACUAGAACACUCAACCAAGUCACACGUUCCAAAAAGCUCCAAUCCUAAUAAUGCUCCAUGCCUAUAACCCCUUUGAGCUAUUCCCCUGUCACCAGCAGCCUUCCCCCUUUAUAGAUUUAAUCUUUUCAUUCAUCCCUUCAUGAAGUAAAUCCUGUAUUGAAAACUCCAAGCUGCUCACAAAUAAGAUAAGCCACUAGAGGUAUGAAAGUGAUUGUCAGUUACUCAAUCUAAUGGGGAAAUCAAAUAAAUGACAGUGGGAUCGUCCAACAGAUCAGGUGGAAGGGCUACAGGAGGAGUGUGGUGAUGGGAUGUCACAGGAGUUUUACAGAGAAGGUGACUUUUGAGCUGUGUCAUCAGGAAACAGUAAGACUUUGCUAGUUGGAAAAAGUCACAAGUAAUAACUGCAGUUUCCCAAUUCAUAAUGUUUAAAAAGCAUGGGUUUUUGAGUCACACAGUCCUUAGACACUUGACAAGAUAAGGCAUUAAUAGCAGAGGUUCAUUUGGCUUUUUCACAGUGAUAAAUUCAUUUAUUUUUAAAAUAUUUUGGCACUCCCCUUUAGUUCUACAAAUGUACUGAUACUAUACUACAGUUAUCAGUGAAGCAACAGCAUGUAGGAGUGGGAUCCAUGGGUUCACCUAAUACCUUAAAUAUCUGCCAUAAUCUCUUGGUAGUCCUUCCCUCAUCAGUGAUGAAUAAGUGGGAAACAAAAUUAUUACACAACCCAUAGUGUUCAUAAGAGAAACCAAACCAGUUCUUUGCUUCAUUCAUUCACUUAUUCAUUGACUCAGACAUUAAUAUUAAUUGCUGAUUAUGUUGCAAGCCUUGUCUAAGGUUACUACCCCUAAGGAGCUCCCAGAUUGGUGUAGACCACAGAACAAAACCAGGUAACUCAAGUGUGUUACCAGGUGACACCAGCAUAGUGAGGACAUGAAACGGCCAAGCUGGUGAGCACAGAGGGGCACAGCAGAGAGGGACCCUAAUCCAGACCUGUGGCAUCAGAGAAAACUUCCUGGAGGAGGUCUUUCUGAGCUGCUUCUUGAAGAGUGCUGUACUUUCCUCUAAUCUGGUCUGGAGGGCUCUCCCUGGAGAGGGGUUAUAAAUUCUAGUCCUGCCCUGAUGGGGCUACAGGAAAGGCGGUCAUGAGUAUUUACAGUGUGCCUUUCAUGGGAUACUACUUUACCCUGGUCAAUGGCCUCAUGCCUAAGUGUCUGACUCAUGACCAGGUGUCCCUCUCACAGGAAACUUGUUUAUAUUGGCAGACACCCUUGUGGCUCUUGUCUGACCUGUGUCCAGUGCAUUCUUACCAAGAUAGCCACUCUGUAGGAGAGCUCUGACGGGGAGAAGAGUUAGGUUCGACUGUGUCCGUGGGGUGAGACACAGAGGAGGCAGUGCAACAAACACAUUAAAUAACAAAAGCAGUGCAUUACCUACAGACCCAGAGAGAAGAGGGCAGCACGCCUUGCCUCACAGGGCCAGUGGGAUGAGAAGAGCUGUCCAGGACACAUGCACUCAACCAAGGAGUGGGGAGCAAGAGAGAGAGAACCUGUGGGACUAAAGCCUUUACUGGGGACCAGGGCAUUACCCAGUUUCCCGUGGGUAAUUCUACUUGGUGGGUUUGGAGCAAGCAGGUCCAUGUCUCAUGCAGUCACACUGGGACUGGUCACUAUGGCAUAUCUGCACAGUCCAUGUUAGGUACGUGGGUCAGUAAGGUGAUUCAAGUAGGCUGCAUUGGGAGGUGGUCCCAUAGGGAGGUGGUCACCAGGAGGCAGUUGUAUAAGGCAAUGUAUAAGUCCAUUUUCAUGCUGCUGAUAAAGACAUACUUGAGACUGGAUAAUUUAUAAAGAAAAAGAGGUUUAAUGGACCCACAGUUCCACAUGGCUGGGGAGGCCUCACAAUCAUGGUAGAAGGUGAAAGACAUGUCUUACAUGGUGGCAGUCAAGAGAGAAUGAGAGCCAAGUGAAAGGGGUUUCCCCUUAUAAAAUCAUCAGAUCUCGUGAGUCUUAUUCACUACCAUGAGAACAGUAUGGGGGAACCGCCCCCAUGAUUCAAUUAUCUCCCACUGUGUCCCUCCCACAACACAUGAAAAUUAUGGGAGCUACAAUUCAAGAUGAGAUUUGGGUGGGGACACAGCCAAACCAUUAUCAGGCAGAUAUCUGGAUUGACCAGGUUGAGGAACUGGGAGGAAGUGUAGAACUGGAAACUCUGUCAAGGGUGACUGAGCCCUGCUUCUGGUAUGAAAGAGUUUAAGUUUCAGUCAAAGUAGAUGCUGCAGCAAUGUAAAAUUAUGAGUUCAUGACAAGGAGGAAAGUCAAAGGCCAGCCAGAGAGAAUGGCAUGUUCCACUGCCUGGAAGCAAAAGAGCCCACUGUGCCAAUGGUUAGUCUGACUGGAGUAUAGAGCUCCAGGCAUGGCAAGUGGUGGCUGAAAAUGAACCUAGAGAGAGGCGUGAAGGGCUCAGAAGUUGCUGAAGAACUUGGAAUGCAGCCAAGGAAUGGUUUUAAGCAGAAAAGCGAUAAGAUCAAAUCUGUCUUUUGAACUUCACCCUGGCUUUAGUAUAGAGACAGGUAUAACAGAAGGCAAGAAGACAGAUUAGAAACCUUUUGCAAUAAUGUGCGAGAAAAACACAACUGAUCUUGGCUAAUCAACAAAGUCCCAGUCUAAGUUAGAGGGCCAGAAUGAUGAUUUGGAUUCAGUUUAACUGGCCACUGCUUGGGUCUGCUGAAGAGCUAGCAAAGAAACUAGCAGGGAGGCACAGUGUAAAAAUGAUAGACGUAACCAAAUUUCUUGUGGAUGCAGCUGUCGUAUUCAGGGGAGGAGGGUCCCCUCUCUGGAGGUGGAGGGAAGACUUUGAAUAAUGCCCAGAUGCAUUAUUUGAAUCAGCAAAAAGAGCCCACCUCUUCCCUGGCUGGACUCUGGACUCUGUUUCUUUCCAUCAUAUUAGGCUUAGGGCAGGCCUGACAUGGUCGGUCUCAGUGUUGGAACCCUGAACUGAUGUCAUGGAAAAAGGGCCGGUGAAAGGUAGGAAGAUUAAAGAUGUUGAGAAAAAUGUCAAUAGGAUAGGGUGAUGAAUUGCACCUGAGCAGUGAGCAGAAGGGAGGAGUUCUGCAAGGUGUCUGGAUUGGUUGAGCGCUGUUUUCUAAUUCAGGAGAAAGGGGGAGAAAAGAGUUCAUAGCAAUUAACACUAUACGCCAGCCAGUUUACAUAUUUUGACUUACUGAAAUCUCAUAACACUUCUGAAGGGGAUCGUAGUAUCCUCAUCCUAGAGUUGAGCAGCAAGGCUCAGGGGGGCCAAGGGAAGUGUCUGUGCUCAUAGGGAGCUGCAGAGUCAGCUUCAGGAAUCCACAAUCUCUCUGGAAAGCUACAUCAACACUUCUCUUGUCUCUCACAGUUGGGCCUUCUGGUAUUUUUAUGCUCAACUUCUUAACUUCUCUGAAAAAAGCACGGUCUCCUGUAGUAAGCAGAAAACAAUCUUCCACUCACUGAACUAAGCUGCUGACUUUUUACCUCAUCACUUUUUUAGAAGUUCAAGGGAUAUUUCUUGUUUAUCAGCUGCUCCAGUACAAGUUCAUCUAACAGAACACGUCAGCUCUGUGUGCAAUCUGAGCUUCACAUGCAGCUUCCUGCCAAUGAGCUAAUUUUGUGGCAUGGUUUUAGAAACAGAAGAGUUACUUUGAUGUUUUGGAAUAGUUAAGCCUCUUGGAGAUACGAGCAUGACUUUUCCUUUAUCCACAAACUGCUAUUUGCAAGACAGUGGAACCUCUUGGAAACCAACGAGUAUCUUCAUAGAUUCAUAUCUAAGUACUUUUCUGAGAUUAUGAGAAAAAUACAUAUUCCACGUGAUUUAGGUCAUUAUUUCUAAUAAGGGGACAGUUAGAGCACUGCUUCUCUGCUUUGGUUUCUUCAGCCAUGACACCUGAGAAAAUUAAUGGAAGUGAUAAAUCCAAGAGAAUGUGGCCUCCAGGGAACAGAAAUCCAAUCAAGAAAUGACUAUUUGACAGGUUGUAUUAUUAUUCAUCUGAUGACUCUUAUUUCUAGAUAUACAAUGAAGAAUGUCAAAGAAAAGGUAGCAAGCUACCCAAUUCAUGCAAUAAAAGCAAAUGUAAACCUUAUAACUAAACGAUAAAUACAGCAGUCUUGUUUCAACAUUAUCAUUAUAGUGGACAAUAUAAACGUUAUGUACCAGGCACAGUUCUAAACCUCUUCAAUAAAUUGUCUUACUUAAACCUUAUAAUGAUCAGUAAGAAAACUAUAUUCCCAUUUUACAGAUAUGGACACUGAGGCCAAGAAAAGUUCAUUUGCAAAUGACAAGAAGAUGAUUAGAAUUUGGGCAGUCUGGCUUCAGAGCCUGUGGCUGUCAUCUUAAAUACUACUAGGAAUAAACUCAGUUAUGUAUUUUAAGGGUAGCCUGGUUGACCCCAAGGGUAGCCUAGUUUAUCUUGGUCUUGAUAGACUUUUGCCUUUCCUACUAACAAAGUGUUGAUAAAAGAUUCUUAAGUCAUUUCGUGACAUGGCAAGGGAGAGAAAACAAAGUAUCCUCUACCACUGUUCUCCCUCAACCCCUCCACACCCCAGCUCUGCAACUUAACAAGAAUAAACUUAUUGUUAACCCCUACAAUCUUCAUCAGUCCUUACGGUGGUUUUAUGGCCUAGCUCUUACAACAAAAGAUGAAGCCAGAAGAGCACCUUUUACUCUUUGAGGAACUGUCCUUUCCCCACUUGGUGUGUUCGGGUGGACACAGUACCCUAUCCCCGACCUAGGUGAUUGGUCCGGGGUGGACUGAUAUACCAUCUAUUUUUAGAUAUGAAAAUAGAAAUUCUUAAAAAGUUUAGUCAUCACAAAUAGUAAUAAAUCCAUUGCAUGUAAAUACAAAUAACUUUUUAAAAAGAAAAUAACUAUAUUUUCCAAAAAUGAUUAGUAAGAAGAUAGGCAUUGCUCUGCAUGUUUUCAAAUCUCUUCAACAUUUGGCUUAGUAGAAGACAGCCAGAUUCUCAUAGCUUCAUAGAUUCCAUUAGCCAUUGAAGCAAUGAGGUUACCACAUGUCAACUAACUUCUGGAAGACACCACUGUACGCUUGGCAGAGAAUGAGUGAAAAAGGCAACUAACAUCUUAACAUUAUAAUGAAAGUAGUUUUGACUUUGCAGAACCCCAUGAAGUUCCCAUGUCACACUUUAGGAACCACUGCUCUAGGGAAAUGUAUCCAUUUUUGACUUCACUACUUACUAUUAAGGGCUUAGACUCUAAGAAGUUACAUGUUUUACUGUAGACCUCAUCUGCUAGAUACGUAAAUAUUGUCUGUCUAGUAUAAAAGAUAACUCCACAGGUUAGGAUCUGUCUCUAAUUCAGCAAACAUUUAAAAAUGCUUUUCCUGGUGAAGACAUACAUCCUAUUCCUUUCAUUCUCCUUUGAACCACUUUUGCCUAUUGGUUCUCUGACCAAUGAGUUGAACAUAAUCUUUGACUUAUUUACUCUAUUUGUAUACUUAUGUUUUAAACUUUUGGAACAUGAUAGCUUGACAUGCACUUGGCUAUUUCUGGAGAUUUCACCAAGUUUUCUGUAAGAAAUGGUUAAACUUCUAGCUAGGCUGGCCCUUGUGAAAGUAGAAAGGAGACAACAGGUGAUUUUGCUAAAAGAAACUCGCUCUUCCGCAGCUAGCAAACAUGACUGGAUGAGAUUAAACAAUCAAAGCCCUCUCAGCAUUUAAAAAUCCCAACUCUCAGUCUUGAUCCACAGGAGCAAAGGGUAGAUUCUAAAACCAUGGACGCGAUGGGGAUCGGGAGGAGCCUGAGAACCAGGAGACCCCUGAUCAUCCCCUUCUAAGCCCCUCCUCUUAUGCAUACCCUUCUGGGCAAAAGCAAUCUGGUGGAGUUGCAACAUGCAUGUAUUGGACUGAAUUAUACACGUUCUGUUGGAGAGUGGUGGUGGUGGUGGUAACUAAGAAG